ensembl:lncRNA
AUGGUUAUCCACUGCUGCUUUCUUCGGCGUCCUGGGCUCUCAUCCAGGUCCUCAAACCCAAGUGCCUGCAGGGGCCAGACAGGUAACUGGGGACAAGGGAAGUGGACUGGGCUGGGGCGGGAGGUGUGCCACUCAGCUUCUCAAUGGUUGCUGCAUUUCUGGAAUUUAAGACUACUGAGCCCGCCUCCCUCCACCCUCAAUUUCAUUGUUUACCUUCUGGCUCUGGCGAUGGACUGCACCUUUUUCAAGGACGCUGUGGAGGCCAGUGCAGGUGGGCCAGACAGAACAUGUCUGAGGCUCGGAUGUGGCACACAGGUGCCAGUUUGCAAUCUAUUUGGUCGAGUUGCACCGUUCACCGUUUCUUGUAUGGGUCCCUCCCACCCCUGCCUUAGCACCUUUGCUUAAGCUGUUCUUCUGGCCUAAAAUACCCCCUGCCAUCUCUGGGUGCCCAAAUUCUAUCCAUCCCUCAGAGUCCAGCUCACAGGCCUCCUCCCCCAUGAAGCUUCUGUUACCCUUGCCUUGCACUUUCUCCAUCCUCUGUACGUCUUUUAUGAACCGAAUCACUUCCUGUUUUAUGUUAAGUUUAUUUAUAGUCCUGCUGAAUCACCUGUAGAAGUCAGUUUUGUGGUCAGUUAGCCUCUGACUGUCUGGCACAGAGCAGUAGUUCAAUAAGUAAUUGUUGAAUGAAUGUCAAAUGGACGAAGAGAGAAACCCAAACAUCCUUUUGAGUCAGAAUUGGGCUCAGACUGUGGUUCUGCUCUUUUAUUAGAACUGUGUGACUUAACGGCAUGUUACUCUGUCUGAGCCUCGGUUUCAUCAUCUGUGAAAUGGGUAUAUUAAUAGUAUCUAUAUCUGAUGGUAGUAUGNNNNNNNNNNNNNNNNNNNNNNNNNNNNNNNNNNNNNNNNNNNNNNNNNNNNNNNNNNNNNNNNNNNNNNNNNNNNNNNNNNNNNNNNNNNNNNNNNNNAUCUGUGAAAUGGGUAUAUUAAUAGUAUCUAUAUCUGAUGGUAGUAUGAAGAAUAAAUAUAGUAAUGUGUAACAAGCACUGACAAGAGUGCUGAACAAAUCCAAUAAAUCUAAGCCAUCAUCAUCAUUACUAUUGUUCUUAUUAUGUAGCUCAAAUGCCACCUCCUCCAUGAAGUCUUCUCUAGUCCUGCAGUUGGAAUUAACCUCUCCCUCCAUUGAGUUUCUACGAUAUUUUGUUUGCCUCAUGUUAUAAUUAAUUAGUAAUCUGCACAACUGAUUCCUCUAUCAGGUUGUCACCUCUUGGAGGGCAGGUCCGUGCCUCGUUGAUCUCUGUAUUUCUCAGCCUUUCUUUUUUUUUUUUUUUAUUUUCUGUUGACCAAUCAUGAUCCCAUUAUUUUAUUAAGCAAAAUUCAAAAUAGUAGUAGAUGCUUAUCAAUUUUCACAAUCAAUAGCCAGACAAAAACCGAAACAGCAUCACAAUUGCAAGCCAUAAUGGUUAGGAUUAACCUAACAAUAUAAAAUUACAUACAAUUUGGGGGGUUAAGUAGAGCGGUGUGGUAAGUGGAAAUGUAUGCAUACGUGUCUUUUGGUUGGUGCAUUUAAUCCAUUUACAUUUAAGGUAAUUAUCCAUAUAUAUGACCCUAUUACCAUUUUCUUAAUUAUUUUGGUUUUAUUUUCUAUAGGUCUUUACCUUCUUUUAUNNNNNNNNNNNNNNNNNNNNNNNNNNNNNNNNNNNNNNNNNNNNNNNNNNNNNNNNNNNNNNNNNNNNNNNNNNNNNNNNNNNNNNNNNNNNNNNNNNNUUUCUUAAUUAUUUUGGUUUUAUUUUCUAUAGGUCUUUACCUUCUUUUAUUCUCAGCCUUUCAUACAGCAGUUACUGAGUAUUUUCAAAAGCCAGCACUAUGCUGGGGGUUGGAGAUAUUUCUGGUGAAAGAUGUGCCCCGUAUAGCACCUGGCACUGUGCUUAGGUUAAUAUUCAUGUUCGCAGAGUCCCCCCUUCUUUUUGCCACUCAGUGUCUCCCAGCAUCACUGUAGGGUGGGCUGGAAUUGGGUGAGGGGUGCGGGUCCAGCAGAGCCCAGGCUCAGCUGACCACAGAGGGGCAGCUCUCUCCCCACCGUGUGCUGGGAGGGCAGAGCUGAGCUGCCACUAAACAGUGAGCAGGCAUGGGGUUGCCGGGUCUCCUUUCCUGCCUGGCGUCCUCCUCUGUGGACAGGGCAGGGACCAGCUCUAUGCCCCAGCCAAGUAGAGAUCCCCCAGCUUUGGGGUCAGACCUCAGUUCCUGCAUCCCUGCAUCCCAUGAGAUGUUUCUCAUUAACCAUUCAGUGACCUAAAGACACUCCUGGUGUGACUUUCAGCAACUUAUUUGGCUUCUCAGUCUCAGUUUCUUCAUAAGAGGAAUUAGGUGAUUUAAUACCUUUCUAGGUCUCAGUGUUAGUGUGGGUUGGUUGCACUAGGCUGGUGGGUGUGAGCACUGGGCACCAGGUUGACUAGCCUUUGGCCCUUUCUGGGUCUGAGGCUCCCAGGCUGUAAGAAAAGCUGAUCUUACUGGUCUCCAAGCUCCUCCCAUCUCUAAGAGCCUUUGAGAUUCUUUCCCGGGAGCCCAGACCCUGUAAGUGGGCCUUGCCUUCUUCAUUCCUGGAGUGUGGGGCAAUCUGUCCCUGAGAAAUGGGGUCCUGAUGCAUUCAGGUCCCAGGGAUCCCAGCCCCAGUUCCCCAGGCUUCAGUCUUGGUACCCAGGUACUCAGUGUCUGCCCUAAACCCCACUUGCUCCCCUUUCACCAUCUCCCCUUGCACAUGUGGCUGAGGCAGUGGUUACAGUCGGGUCCCUGUGUCUGUGCCCCUAACACCCCCACCCUUUUGCCAGAGGUCAUUUACUGUGUCCAUUGCCCACAGCCAGGAGGCACAGAGAGAGGGAAGGAGCCUCUGAAAUCCACUGCAAGGGUGUGUGGUAGAAGACAGGCAGGAGGCAUGGGCCAGCUUAAGCCCCAGCUGUGAGUGGGGAUUCUGGGCAUGCGUGGCUCUGACUGCAGAGUUCUGGCGGGCUGUGGACAGGAGGGGUGGCCGUGAUUCAGCCUCCCCCGUGCACUGCAGCAGGGUCCAACAGUGAGCCUCCAAAGGCAGGGGUGUAGGGAGGAGGUGCUGAAAGAGGGGGCUUGGGAAGCCCAGCACAGAACCCUGGGCUCCCCUCCCCCACCCAGGCCAGGAUGAAAGCCCCCCUCCCUAACCCUGGCAGCCCCUGGUCCUCAUUAAAGACUCUAAUCCUCCAGCCCUGCUGCAGAUUCAGAGGCCUCCAUCCCCAGGUCUGGAGGGAAGGGGACAAGCAGUGAUUUCUCCUCCCUUCACCCACCGCCACCAGCUGGGCUGGGCUUGGGCACCUGACCCAGCGGUCAACGGGCAUCUGAGGGCCACCAGCAUCCCGGGGAUGGAGCUUCUGGGAAGUGGAGAACAGAGAAGAUGGGCCUCUGCGGGGAGGAGUCCUGGGAAGAGAGGGAAAGAGGAGGAGGUGGUGGCACUGCUCUGACCAAGUGGGAGAGUCCCUGGCAAGAGAUCCUUCUCCCUUCCCCUCGCCCCUUGCCUCCCGGAGAUCCCCCACUGAGGAGAGCCUGGAGGGUGGGCACAGGCACCCAGUCAGCACCUUUGCUGGUGUAGAGCCAGGUUGGGGUCCCCGGGGCCUCGGCUUCCUCGGCUCUCCAGUGGGGCCGGUCCCUUCCUCUCUUGCUUUUCCUCCGAUCUGGCCUCAGGGCAGAGGGGAAGGCCAAGGAACACACUUUGGCAGGUAAGCAGAGCAAGGGCUGGAGGAGGCCGGGGCCAGCCUUUACAAUUGGCUCCUGGUUUGAAUGGCCUAGUGCCGGCCUGAGUGGUUUCCAACGGUCCGGAGCUUCCUGGAGAUGUGUGGGGCAAUCUUGUUCCUUCCCUUUCACCUCCAUUCCUUCAGGGAUCUGCUGAGAUCAGCUUCCUGGGGCUCUUCUUUCUAUGCUGCCUAAAAAGGGCUUGGUUGGAAGGUCCAGGAUUCUCUGUGCCCACUCAUCAUGCUCUGCCCCGCCAUGUCUGAGGGGCCUCCCUAGCUGGGGGUGCUGGGCUGAGGGCUGCUGGGAGCUCUGGGGAGAGAAGUCAGCCUGUCCUCAGGCAGCCCCCAGGCUGAUGAGUUGAGACGAACCCCAGAAAGCAGACUCGGAAACCUAGAAACAGGCGCUGACUCUCAUUCGCUCUUGACUGAAAAGGGCAGGUGGUCAGUUAUGUAGACCAUGGACGUAAUCAUCUAUAUUUCAUCAAAAGCAAGACAAACAAAUUACACACUGUUAGGAAGAAAAGAACACUGCUAAUUAAACUCUGACACAGUGCCUUCUUGUUAUUGAUUGCAGGGCACAUCCUGAUUUCAGAGAUGUUAAAAUGUGAAAAAUGUGUGUCAGAGAACCAAAAGAAAUUUAAAAACAUUUCUCUUGGACUCACAUUUUUGCCUGCAUCUAGUUGUGUUUACUUGCAAGGGUUGUUCCGAGGUUUACGAGGUCAGACACAUAAAGCAACUGGCACGCAGUAAAUGAUCACUAAAUGUUAAUUAUUAUUGCUGUUAUAUGUACUUGAAUUUUAUAUGUACGUGGAAAUCCUUUUUGCUAAUUUUGUGUUGUUGUAGAGGCUGAUGCCUCUGAGUAGAGG